rnacentral:rRNA from 1 species
UACGUAGGGUGCGAGCGUUAAUCGGAAUUACUGGGCGUAAAGCGUGCGCAGGCGGCUUUGCAAGUCAGAUGUGAAAUCCCCGGGCUUAACCUGGGAACUGCAUUUGUGACUGCAUGGCUGGAGUGCGGCAGAGGGGGAUGGAAUUCCGCGUGUAGCAGUGAAAUGCGUAGAUAUGCGGAGGAACACCGAUGGCGAAGGCAAUCCCCUGGGCCUGCACUGACGCUCAUGCACGAAAGCGUGGGGAGCAAACAGG